rnacentral:rRNA from 1 species
CCAUCAUUCAGUUGGGCGACUCUAGCGAGACUGCCGGUAAUAAACCGGAGGAAGGUGGGGGAUGACGUCAAAUCAUCAUGCCCCUUAUGACCUGGGCUACACACGUGCUACAAUGGUUGGGUACAACGAGUUGCGAGUCGGUGACGGCGAGCUAAUCUCUUAAAGCCAAUCUCAGUUCGGAUUGUAGGCUGCAACUCGCCUACAUGAAGUCGGAAUCGCUAGUAAUCGCGGAUCAGCACGCCGCGGUGAAUACGUUCCCGGGCCUU